AGUAUCGGUAAAUGUACUUGGCGAAUAGGUCAUUAUCAAAAACGUCAUGAAGACAAUAUUCAUUUUUUUUGCUGGUGGGCAGCUUCAAACUACAUUUCAAUGGAAGCUAAUGUUGCUAGAUAUGGUAGAGAUGGCGGUGUCAGAAUACUUAAAAAGGGCUCAAUACGAGGAAAGAGACAGAUACCAGCAGCCCCUGUAGCCAACAUCGAUUUCUUAUCUGCAAGGGCUAAGAAGAGGAGGAUGGACCAGGCAGGUUGUACAAUGGAGCAGGCAACAUCAUCCCUGACUUGGCCUCCCAUUGUGAGUGGAUCGACAAUACCAGGAAUACAAAAAAAACUCAACCAAAAUGCUCCAAAAAGCGUUGCUCUGAUGUUAUGCAGUCAUGGUUACAGGUUACAGACAUGAAGCUGAUGCCAAACAGUAUGCAGAGGUGCCACACCUGAUGGGCUCCCUCAUUGUUACUCCUGGUGCAGGAGUCUGUGAGAUUAAGUGUCCUUACUGCCACCAGGAGGACAUCUUUGUUCAGAGAGUUGGAAAGAAAGAGUUCUGUCUCAUAGAAUCGGAGAGCUCCAGCUGCGUAGAGACCAUGCCAACUACUAUCAAGUUCAGGAGCAGCUUAAUAUUACAGACAUUACACACAUUACUGCAAUUUUGUUGUUUGGAAUAAAAAAUACAUUUUGAGAGAGGCAAUUGCAAAAGCCGAGAUUUUAUAAGCAAUACAUUCUGACAAAAAUGUUGACCGGGAACAAUUAAAUUGAGCUCUGGUAAAUCUAUGGAGCCCGGUAUGCUAUGGAGCCCAGUAUCAAUGUGUUGCUCCUGUAUGAGCUACAAUAAAC